rnacentral:sRNA from 1 species
GCUGGGUGUGGUGGCACACACUUGUAAUCCCAGCUGCUCAGGAGGCAGAAGCAGGAGGAUCGCAGGUGUUGAGCCACAACAUCGUAGUAAGGACCUAAGCAGCUUAGCUAAACCCUGUCUCAA